rnacentral:lncRNA from 1 species
CAUUGUUCACAUUUUUAAAAAUUACCAUUAUAUCAGGUAUUAUGUUAAGUCCACCAUGAUCAUGAAGAUCUUUCUGCCUCAGUUCUUCACAAUCCUGCUUCAAGAUGGAUCAGGAAUCAAAAUAUUCUUUAAACAGCUUUCUACUUAAUCCUCUGGGUUUUAGGGUCCGAGUCUUCUCUUCCUUUUGGUGUAUAAUCUUUCUGAGAGGGGAUGCAGAUGUGUUCUGCACCCUACGGUGGCUCAGUGGGCACAAAAAGCUUUGGCUAACUCCAGCCUGUUACAUCCAACACCACUCUUCUUCAAGAAUUUUUUUGAGAUCCUUCACCAUCAGAUAGCCCUCAUC